rnacentral:rRNA from 1 species
UACGGAGGAUGCGAGCGUUAUCCGGAUUUAUUGGGUUUAAAGGGUGCGUAGGCGGACUGUCAAGUCAGCGGUAAAAUUGAGAGGCUCAACCUCUUCCCGCCGUUGAAACUGGUGGUCUUGAGUGGAUGAGAAGUACGCGGAAUGCGUGGUGUAGCGGUGAAAUGCAUAGAUAUCACGCAGAAUUCCGAUUGCGAAGGCAGCGUACCGGCAUCUAACUGACGCUGAGGCACGAAAGCGUGGGGAUCAAACAGG